rnacentral:rRNA from 1 species
CGUGUAGGCGGUCGGGUAAGUGGAAUGUGAAAUGCCCCGGCUCACCCGGGGACCUGCAUCCCAAACUGCCUGGCUUGAGUAUGGGAGAGGAUGGAGGAAUUCCUGGUGUAGCGGUGAAAUGCGUAGAUGUCAGGAGGAACACCGGUGGCGAAGGCGUCCAUCUGGCCCAAUACUGACGCUGAUGCGCGAAAGCUAGGGGAGCGAACGGGAUUAGAUACCCCGGUAGUCCUAGCCGUAAACGGUGAUCACUAGGUGUUGGGGGCAUCGACCCCUCCAGUGCCGCAGCUAACGCAUUAAGUGAUCCGCCUGGGGAGUACGGCCGCAAGGUUGAA